GGGAUGUGGUGGGGGGCUCGGCCCACUGGACGGCCAGCGCAAUGUGGUGGGGGCGCGGCCGACGGGAGGAGGAAGUUGGGGGAGGCGGGUCGUGAGUCGGGCCGUUGGCUAUAGGAUGGUGGUGCGGUGGCGACGCGGGAGAAGCAGGGGAGGUGGUGGUGCUGCGGCGGCGCGGGAGAAGCAGGGAAGGUGGUGGUCCGGCG
rnacentral:rRNA from 1 species